rnacentral:rRNA from 1 species
UGGGGAAUAUUGGGCAAUGGGCGAAAGCCUGACCCAGCGACGCCGCGUGGGUGAUGAAGGCCUUCGGGUUGUAAAGCCCUGUCAUGUGGAAAGAACAGGUCUGCGGUUAAUACCCGCGGAAUUUGACGGUACCACAGGAGGAAGCACCGGCUAACUCCGUGCCAGCAGCCGCGGUAAUACGGAGGGUGCAAGCGUUGAUCGGGAGUAUUGGGCGUAAGGGGCGCGUAGGCGGUUGUGAAAGUCAGAUGUGAAAUACUUCGGCUCAACUGAAGACCUGCACCUGAAACUUCAUAACUUGAGUACAGGAGAGGGAAACGGAAUUCCCGGUGUAGAGGUGAAAUUCGUAGAUAUCGGGAGGAACACCAGUGGCGAAGGCGGUUUCCUGGCCUGAUACUGACGCUGAGGCGCGAAAGCGUGGGGAGCAAACA